rnacentral:rRNA from 1 species
UGACCGUAACGAUGCCACUAGCGAUCCGCCGGUGGUAAUUACGCCCCGGCGGGGAGCUUCCCGGAAACGAAAGUCUUCCGGUUCCGGGGGAAGUAUGGUUGCAAAGCUGAAACUUAAAGGAAUUGACGGAAGGGCACCACCAGGAGUGGAGCCUGCGGCUUAAUUUGACUCAACACGGGAAAACUCACCCGGCCCGGACACCGUAAGGAUUGACAGACUGAGAGCUCUUUCUUAAUUCGGUGGGUGGUGGUGCAUGGCCGUUCUUAGUUGGUGGAGCGACUUGUCUGGUUAAUUCCGAUAACGAACGAGACUCUGGCCUAUUAAAUAGUCGGUAUAUCCAGAAAAGUUUACCGUACUUCUUAGAGGGACAAACGGCGUCUAGCCGCGUGAAAUAGAGCAAUAACAGGUCUGUGAUGCCCUUAGAUGUCCGGGGCUGCACGCGCGCUACACUGAAGGAAUCAGUAUGCGCUUUAACCUAGUCCGGAAGGAUUGGGUAACCCGAGCAAAUUCUUUCGUGCUUGGGAUAGGGAAUUGCAAUUAUUUCCCUUAAACGAGGAAUUCCCAGUAAAUGCGGGUCAUAAGCCCGCGUUGAUUACGUCCCUGCCCUUUGUACACACCGCCCGUCGCUACUACCGAUUGGAUGACUUAGUGAGGUCUUAGGACCGACGUAAAGGAGCUUUCGCGAGUUCUUUUUCGUUGGAAAUUUGAUCGAACUACGUUAUCU